rnacentral:tRNA from 1 species
GGAGAGGUGUCCGAGUGGUUGAAGGAGCACGCCUGGAAAGCGUGUAUAGCUUAACGGUUAUCGAGAGUUCGAAUCUCUUCCUCUCCG